rnacentral:rRNA from 1 species
CAGCCGCCGCGGUAAUACCGGCGGCCCGAGUGGCGGUCACUAUUAUUGGGCUUAAAGCGUCCGUAGCCGGGUUGGGAAGUCCUCCGGGAAAUCUGGCCGCUUAACGGUCAGAAUGCCGGAGGAUACUCCCAGCCUAGGGAGCGGGAGAGGCCGAGGGGAUUCCCGGGGUAGGGGUGAAAUCCUAUAAUCCCGGGAGGACCACCUGUGGCGAAGGCGCUCGGCUGGAACGGGUCCGACGGUGAGGGACGAAGGCCAGGGGAGCAAACCGGAUUAGAUACCCGGGUAGUCCUGGCUGUAAACGAUGCGGACUUUGUGUCGGACAAGCUAUGAGCUUGUCCGGUGCCGGAGGGAAACCGUUAAGUCCGCCGCCUGGGGAGUACGGCCGCAAGGCUGAAACUUAAAGGAAUUGGCGGG